CCCAGGGCGUUGCCCUGGGCUAUAUUAUUUCGCGCUUUCAGCGCU
rfam:Candidatus Magnetoglobus multicellularis str. Araruama Cont3261, whole genome shotgun sequence.